CCUCCUUACUUCCUUUUUCCUUUUUCUCUAAUCCACCGCCUUUCCCUUAGGGUUUACACUUGCUUCAGCCAACCACUCAAUCAGAUGUGCACAACCGAUCAGAGUACUAGCAGCUGCGCAAAUCAGUGAUCGGAACAACAGCAACAACAGAGACAAGCAAAACAUUUGACGCUGCGUUUUUUAAGUUUCGGUGCGCAAAUCAGUGAUCCGAACAACACCAGUUCGGAACAACAGCAUGGUGGCAACAAUAAGUUCAAAUUCAGUUGUGUUGGUUUCGAAUUAGAUGCGCAUUAACAAGAUCGAGGAUUGCAAGUAGCCGCAGUUGAUGCACUACUGGAUAUAGAUCUACCUCACUCUAUAAAGACGUCUUUUAUGUUCAUCACCUCGAUAUGCAGUGAUCGGUACAACAGCAACAACGGAGACAAGCAAAAAUAAAGACGCCUUCGGGUUUACCCAUGCUUCAGCCAACCACUCAAUCAGACGUGCACAGCUGAUCAGAGUACUAGCAGCUGCGCAAACCAGUGAUCGGAACAACAGCAACAACAGAGACAAGCAAAAAUAAAGACCUCUUCGGUACGUACCUACAACCCCAACACACUACCCGAUUUGG
rnacentral:lncRNA from 1 species